AAAAAGCCCUUUUAAGGGCUGGUAAAAGAGCUGAUUGCUUUGUAAUUUAGUAUAGGGUAGGGAAUUUUAUUAUUUUGGGGGGCUUUUUUAUUUUAUUAGGGGGCUUAGAUUAGGUGUAAUUAGAUUAAAAUUCUUGUAAUAUUUUUUUUUUUUUUGCAAUUUAGUGUUUGUUUGUUUUUGUAAUAUAGUUUAGUUUAUUUAAUUGUAUUUUAGUUUAGAUCAUUGUAGGUAAUUUAUUUAAUUAAUUUAUUGAUAGUGUAGUGUUAGGUGUAUUUGUAACUUAGGUUAGGAUUUAUUUUACAGGUAAUUUUGUAAUUAUUUUAACUAGGUAGCUAUUAAAUACUUAUUAACUAUUUAAUAACGAUUGUACCUAGUUAAAAUAAAUACAAAGUUGCCUGUAAAAUAAAUAUAAAUCCUAAAAUAGCUACAAUGUAACUAUUAGUUAUAUUGUAGUUAUCUUAUGGUUUAUUUUAUAGGUAAGUAUUAAUUUUUAAAUAGGAAUAAUUUAUUUAAUUAAAGUAAAUUUAUUUAGAUUUAUUUAAAUUAUAUUUAAGUUAGGGGGGUUAGGGUUAGACUUAGGUUUAGGGGUUAAUCACUUUAUUAUAGUAGCAGCGACAUUGUGGGCGGCAGAUUAGGGGUUAAUAAUUGUAAGUAGGUUGCAGCGAUAUUGGGGGGGGGCAGAUUAGGGGUUAAUAAAAUUUAUUAUAGUGUUUGUGAGGCGGGAGUGCGGCGGUUUAGGGGUUAAUACAUUUACUAUAGUGGCGGCGACAUUUAGGGGUUAAUAAGUGUAGGUAGGUGGCGGCGACAUUGGGGGGGGCCAGAUUAGGGGUUAAUAGAUAUAAUAUAGGUGUCGGCGAUGUUAGGGACAGCAGAUUAGGGGUUCAUAGCUAUAAUGUAGGUGGCGGCGGUGUCCGGACGGCAGAUUAGGGGUUAAAUCAUUUUAUUAUAGGGUUUGCGAUGUGAGGGGGCCUCGGUUUAGGGGUUUAUAGGUAGUUUAUGGGUGUUAGUGUACUUUGUAGCACUGUAGUUAAGAGCUUUAUGUUCCGGCAUUAGCCCAUAAAACUCUUAACUACUGACUUUUUUAUGCCAUAGGAGUCUUGGAGGUAGAGUCUGUACCGCUCACUUUUUCCAAGACUCAUAAUACCGGCAUUAGGCGAAUCCCAUUAAAAAGAUAGGAUACGCAAUUGACGUAAGGGGAUUUGCGGUAACCAAAAGUCGCGGAAGAAAAGUGAGCGGUACACCUGUACCUGCCAUACUCGUAAUACCAGUGGGCGUUAAAAAGCAGCGUUAUGACCCCUUAACGCUGCUUUUUAAGGCUAAUGCAGAACUCAUAAUCUAGGCUAAAGUUUCUCUACCUUAAUCCAGAGAGGAGAAGUUUGUUAGAAAAACCAGCACAUAUCUGCUCCAGGGAUAUCAAGUUUUACGCCUGCUAAAAGAUACUGCAUACCAGCCAAGAGCAUCUUUAGGGAUUAUAUCCCCCCCCCACGCUUCUCACAUACCUCACAUGAGGUUAAAUAAGGUGAGCAAAUUUAAAUCUCACUUUUAGUGUCUUAUUGCCUAGUCCUGACAUACUGCACCAUAAUUUGGUUUAUGUUUUGUUUUUCUCCCUUCUAUGUGUGCUGAGCUUUGAAACCCAACUCCACAUUAUAUAUAUAUCAAUCAGACAAAAUAAUCGUAAGGUAGUAAAAUAUAUAUGCAAGAAGAAGCAGUGGCCAGAGAGGUCCAUGAUGAAAACAAAUCCAAUGAUUCUUCAACAACAAUCAAUUAUGACUGGGUUCCUAAAGAUCAAAACAUUUUGAUUAAUAAAAAACAAUUAUUGGAGGUGUUAAUUAAAGCUGAAAAAGGACUCAAGGAGAACUACUCGACAUUGCAUGCAAUCCGGCUUAAAAUUGAAAAAACUUGAUAUUUAUAUUAAUCUUUUUAUGAAUGUGAAGACAACAUGAUAUUUAUUUUUGUAAAUAAUAAAAAUAUAUUGUUUAAAGGUU